rnacentral:rRNA from 1 species
AUCAAGCUUGCUUGGUGGUGAGAGUGGCGAACGGGUGAGUAAUGCGUGACCGACCUGCCCCAUGCUCCGGAAUAGCUCCUGGAAACGGGUGGUAAUGCCGGAUGUUCCACAUGAUCGCAUGUGAUUGUGGGAAAGAUUCUAUCGGCGUGGGAUGGGGUCGCGUCCUAUCAGCUUGUUGGUGAGGUAACGGCUCACCAAGGCUUCGACGGGUAGCCGGCCUGAGAGGGCGACCGGCCACAUUGGGACUGAGAUACGGCCCAGACUCCUACGGGAGGCAGCAGUGGGGAAUAUUGCACAAUGGGCGCAAGCCUGAUGCAGCGACGCCGCGUGAGGGAUGGAGGCCUUCGGGUUGUAAACCUCUUUUGUUUGGGAGCAAGCCUUCGGGUGAGUGUACCUUUCGAAUAAGCGCCGGCUAACUACGUGCCAGCAGCCGCGGUAAUACGUAGGGCGCAAGCGUUAUCCGGAUUUAUUGGGCGUAAAGGGCUCGUAGGCGGCUCGUCGCGUCCGGUGUGAAAGUCCAUCGCUUAACGGUGGAUCUGCGCCGGGUACGGGCGGGCUGG